GAAAGCCUGUUAUUACUAUUAACAUCUCCUGAAUGCAACUCAGACACUUUAAUUAAGCUAAAACUUC
rnacentral:tRNA from 1 species